AUACGGAGGGUGCAAGCGUUAUCCGGAAUCAUUGGGUUUAAAGGGUCCGCAGGCGGUCAAUUAAGUCAGAGGUGAAAUCCCGUCGCUCAACGACGGAACUGCCUUUGAUACUGGUUGACUUGAGUUAUACGGAAGUAGAUAGAAUGUGUAGUGUAGCGGUGAAAUGCAUAGAUAUUACACAGAAUACCGAUUGCGAAGGCAGUCUACUACGUAUAUACUGACGCUCAUGGACGAAAGCGUGGGGAGCGAACAGGAUUAGAAACCCGAGUAGUCC
rnacentral:rRNA from 1 species